rnacentral:rRNA from 1 species
GAUGAACGCUGGCGGCGUGCCUAAUACAUGCAAGUCGAGCGAACAGACGAGGAGCUUGCUCCUCUGAUGUUAGCGGCGGACGGGUGAGUAACACGUGGAUAACCUACCUAUAAGACUGGGAUAACUUCGGGAAACCGGAGCUAAUACCGGAUAACAUGUUGAACCGCAUGGUUCAACAGUGAAAGACGGUCUUGCUGUCACUUAUAGAUGGAUCCGCGCCGCAUUAGCUAGUUGGUAAGGUACCGGCUUACCAAGGCAACGAUGCGUAGCCGACCUGAGAGGGUGAUCGGCCACACUGGAACUGAGACACGGUCCAGACUCCUACGGGAGGCAGCAGUAGGGAAUCUUCCGCAAAGGGCGAAAGCCUGACGGAGCAACGCCGCGUGAGUGAAGAAGGUCUUCGGAUCGUAAAACUCUGUUAUUAGGGAAGAACAAAUGUGUAAGUAACUAUGCACGUCUUGACGGUACCUAAUCAGAAAGCCACGGCUAACUACGUG